rnacentral:rRNA from 1 species
AGUGAACGCUGGCGGCAGGCCUAACACAUGCAAGUCAAACGGCAGCACAGGGGAGCUUGCUCCCUGGGUGGCGAGUGGCGGACGGGUGAGGAACACAUCGGAAUCUACCCAGUCGUGGGGGAUAACGUAGGGAAACUUACGCUAAUACCGCAUACGACCUGAGGGUGAGAGCAGGGGACCGCAAGGCCUUGCGCGAUUGGAUGAGCCGAUGUCGGAUUAGCUAGUUGGUGGGGUAAAGGCCCACCAAGGCGACGAUCCGUAGCUGGUCUGAGAGGAUGAUCAGCCACACUGGAACUGAGACACGGUCCAGACUCCUACGGGAGGCAGCAGUGGGGAAUAUUGGACAAUGGGCGCAAGCCUGAUCCAGCCAUGCCGCGUGUGUGAAGAAGGCCUCGGGUUGUAAAGCACUUUUGUUGGGGAAGAAAACCUGUUGGUUAAUACCCCGGCGGGGAAUGACGGUACCCCAAAGAAUAAGCACCGGCUAACUUCGUGCCAGCAGCCGCGGUAAUACGAAGGGUGCAAGCGUUACUCGGAAUUACUGGGCGUAAAGCGUGCGUAGGUGGUUCGUUAAGUCUGCCGUGAAAGCCCCGGGCUCAACCUGGGAAUGGCGGUGGAUACUGGCGGACUAGAGUGCGGUAGAGGGUGGUGGAAUUCCCGGUGUAGCAGUGAAAUGCGUAGAGAUCGGGAGGAACAUCUGUGGCGAAGGCGGCCACCU